UCAAAUUUCCCUGGGUGCCCUGUAUUUUUAGGGACUGCAGCCAGCAACCCUCCCUGCGUAUGAAGCCGCUGGAACACCAUGCACUCAGCAGCGAGUUCCCCACUGGGUUGCUUCAAUCAACAAACAUUCGUCAUGCGUCUGCUCUGGGCCAGGGCCUGGGACACAGCCCCGAGCAGACAGUCUCUGUGUCCCGUGGCCACUGUAUGUCCCUCCUCUCAACCCUGGGGGCACUGGGCGCAAACCCAGCUUCUGGAACACCCCUGGGAGUCCAGCAGUGAAGAAUCCACCUGCCGAUGCAGGGGACGUGGGUUCGAUCCUCAGUCGGGGAAUGAAGAUCCCAUGUGUCUUGGGGCAACGAAGCCUGCGUGCUGCAACUGCAGAGCCCACGCACUCGGGAGACCGUGCUCCACUACGGGAGAAGCCUGCCCGCCACAACGAAGACCCAGUGCAGCCAAAAAGCAAAAUAGCCACUUGGCUUCUAUGUGAUGGACUCAAAAUCCGGACUCAUGACGCAGAACAAAUAAGGACAAGCAGCACUCAACAUAACGAACCACUUUGGGGAAUUGGCUGUAUCUACAGGCGUAGGCCAGUGGUAAAGAACCCACCUGCCAAUGCAGGAGAUGCUAAGAGACAUACAUGGGUUUGAUCCCUGGAUUGAGAAGAUCCCCUGGAGGAGGGCAUGGCAACCCAUUCCAGUAUUCUUGCCUGGAGAAUCCCAUGGACAGAGGAGCCUGGCAGGCUACAGUCUAUGAGGUUGCAAAGAGUCAGACACGACUGAAGCAACUUAGCACACACGCAUGCACAGGCCUAGCUCAUGACAGAGUCCACAUUCAGGCAUAUUCCCAAGUGCGUGUGUGGCCCCCAGGAGACAGGCACGAAUACUCAGGCAGCACUAUUGCCAACAGGCAGCGGCUGGCAACUAUUUCAGCACCUCUCCACAGCUCCAUGAAUAAGGCACUAUGGAGUAAUUGUACAUGAUUAUCCUGCAAACAUGAGCCCGAACAAACUUUGCUGCACAUGGCCCUGGGGGUGAUUCUCACCCUCGUCACGCUGAGCCAGGCAUUAGCACACCUACUCAGACAGGUGACCCAGAUCUGCGCCCAUGCGGGUGUCCGGCUGUGUCGACCUGCCUGAGCUGGGCCCACUUUUCGCUGAGUGGCCCCAGGUUGUCAUGGCGGAAAGAGGGGCAUGCAGUUGAUCUGGAAGGGAGAGGGGAGCGGCCGCAACACGCCCCCCUCGGGCACCCAAAGUGCCCCCAGUGCACCUUGUCCCCCUCUCCUUCCUGCUCGCCUGCCUCGCGGACCACCAGUGACCCCUGGACCGCCACCGUAGAAGCAGCUUGCGUCCAUCGAGGGACCGGGUUCCAGCCGGGGAACACGUGUGCCAGCCUGCUUUCCAAGGUUAGUCCCUGCAAACCGCACUCAAGGCACCAAUGCUUCUGGAAGGCGGGGCAGAACUCAUCUCUGACCCUCCCCAGCUCCUCCCACAGCCGUGUCCGGUCCAGUCCCUAUGAUAAAUCCGUCGCAUCACUCAGGGUGGUUCUGCCUCCCUGGCCGAGGCCGGGCUGAUAAGCCUUAUCAGGACAGGGGAGUGGGAGGCACUAGGGCGCUGGGGGCCGCAGGGACUGGUUCCAGGCCAGUGUUUACCUCUCAAAAAUCCAUCAAGCUGCCUGCCUAUGACAUGCAUAUUUCAAUAAGCACUUUUUUUUAAGGGCGUUUUUUAAGUUUUGCGACCAGGGUUAUUUUUUAAUCCCGAUGCUUAUCAGGCUCCCAUAGCAAGCGGUUUUGCUCAGCGGGUCUGCCGGGCUCCGGGCUCAGAGGAACAGGGGCCGCCUUAUCUGCUCCUGUGAAUUCCCAGGGUCUGGGAGGCCUCAGCCCCGGGCGCCGG